rnacentral:rRNA from 1 species
AGUUGCGAUCAUACCAGCACUAAUGCACCGGAUCCCAUCAGAACUACGUAGUUAAGCGUGCUUGGGCGAGAGUAGUACUAGGAUGGGUGACCCCCUGGGAAGUCAUCGUGUUGCAACCU